rnacentral:rRNA from 1 species
AUUGAACGCUGGCGGCAGGCUUAACACAUGCAAGUCGAGCGGGGUGAUGGUGCUUGCACUAUCACUUAGCGGCGGACGGGUGAGUAAUGCUUAGGAAUCUGCCUAUUAGUGGGGGACAACAUCUCGAAAGGGAUGCUAAUACCGCAUACGUCCUACGGGAGAAAGCAGGGGAUCACUUGUGACCUUGCGCUAAUAGAUGAGCCUAAGUCGGAUUAGCUAGUUGGUGGGGUAAAGGCCUACCAAGGCGACGACCUGUAGCGGGUCUGAGCGGAUGAUCCGCCACACUGGGACUUAGACACGGCCCAGACUCCUACGGGAAGCAGCAGUGGGGAAUAUUGGACAAUGGGGGGAACCCUGAAGCAGCCAUGCCGCGUGUGUGAAGAAGGCCUUAUGGUUGUAAAGCACUAUAAGCGAGGAGGAGGCUCUUUUAGUUAAUACCCAGAAUGAGUGGACGUUACUCGCAGAAUAAGCACCGGCUAACUCUGUGCCAGCCGCCGCAGUAA